rnacentral:snRNA from 1 species
AUCGCUUCUCGGCCUUUUGGCUAAGAUCGAGUGUAAAAU